UUACGGUCAAAUCACUCUGAAACACCGGUUCUCGUUCGAUCACCGAAGUUAAGCAUCGUAGAGCCAGAUCAGUACUUAGAUGGGGGACCACUUGGGAACACCUGGUACUGUAAG
rnacentral:rRNA from 1 species